UGUAGGGUGAGGCUGGGAGCCAGG
rnacentral:miRNA from 1 species